AGGACCUCGGUUCUUGGAUUCAAAGCAGUAAUGCGUCAGAGGAGGAGCCCGCGCCCGAUUAGCUAGUUGGUGAGGUAACGGCUCACCAAGGCAAUGAUCGGUAGCUGGUCUGAGAGGAUGAUCAGCCACACUGGAACUGAGACACGGUCCAGACUCCUACGGGAGGCAGCAGUGGGGAAUCUUGCACAAUGGGCGAAAGCCUGAUGCAGCGACGCCGCGUGGGGGAUGAAGCUUUUCGGAGUGUAAACCCCUUUCGACUGGGAAGAAAACCCGCAAGGGAUUGACGGUACCAGUAUAAGAAGCCCCGGCUAACUACGUGCCAGCAGCCGCGGUAAGACGUAGGGGGCCAGCGUUGUUCGGAAUUACUGGGUGUAAAGGGUUCGUAGGCGGUGCGGCAAGUUGGGAGUGAAAUCUCUGGGCUCAACCCAGAGGCUGCUUCCAAAACUGCUGUGCUUGAGUGUGAGAGAAGCUCGUGGAAUUGCAGGUGUAGCGGUGAAAUG
rnacentral:rRNA from 1 species